UAUUUAAGAGUUUGAUCCUGGCUCAGGGUGAACGCUAGCGGCAUGUUUAAGGCAUGCAAGUCGAAAGCCGCUUUUGGCGGCUUGGCAAACGGGAGAGUAACACAUUGGUAACCUAUCUCUAUCUUGGGCAUAACCCAGAGAAAUCUGGGAUAAUUCCCAAUAUUCAUGGGGGGACACAAGUCAUUCCCAUGUAAAGAUUUAUCGGAUAGAGAGGGGCCUAUGUCCCAUCAGCUUGUUGGUAAGGUAAUGGCUUACCAAGGCAACGACGGGUAGUGGGUGUGAGAGCAUGACCCGCCUCACUGGGACUGAGAUACUGCCCAGACUCCUACGGGAGGCUGCAGUCAAGAAUCUUCCUCAAUGGACGAAAGUCUGAAGGAGCAAUGCCGCGUGGUUGAUGAAGCUUUUCGGAGUGUAAAAACCUUUUAUCAGGGACGAAUUUGUGACGGUACCUGAUGAAUAAGUCACUGCUAACUUCGUGCCAGCAGCAGCGGUAAUACGAAGGUGGCAAGCGUUACCCGGAUUGAUUGGGCGUAAAGCGUCCGCAGAUGGUUUAGAAAGUCUUUAGUUAAAUCUUGAGGCUCAACCUCAAGACUGCUGGAGAUACUUUUAAACUUGAGACUGGGAGAGGUAAGCGGAAUUGCCGGUGUAGUAGUAAAAUGCGUUGAUAUCGGCAGGAACAUCAAAAGCGAAGGCAGCUUACUAGCACAGAUCUGACAUUCAGGGACGAAAGCGUGGGUAGCGAAUGGGAUUAGAUACCCCAGUAGUCCACGCCGUAAACUUUGGGUACUAAGCAUUGGAAGUAUCGACCCUUCCAGUGCUGUUUAAUUAAGCUAACGCCUUAAGUACCCCGCCUGGGAAGUACGGCCGCAAGGCUAAAACUCAAAGGAAUUGACGGGAGCCCGCACAAGCGGUGGAGCAUGUGGUUUAAUUCGAUGAUAAGCGAGAAACCUCACCAAGACUUGACAUAUAGCUGCAAACUCUAGGAAACUAGAGCUUCUUCGAGAGUGCUAUACAGGUGCUGCAUGGUUGUCGUCAGCUCGUGUC
rnacentral:rRNA from 1 species